AGUGAACGCUGGCGGCAGGCCUAACACAUGCAAGUCGAGCGGCAGCGCGUCCGACCACCCUCGGGUGGUCGGAUGGCGGCGAGCGGCGGACGGGUGAGGAAUGCAUCGGAAUCUGCCUCGUUGUGGGGGGAUAACGUAGGGAAACUUACGCUAAUACCGCAUACGACCUACGGGUGAAAGUGGGGGACCUUCGGGCCUCACGCGAUGAGAUGAGCCGAUGCCGGAUUAGCUAGUUGGCGGGGUAAAGGCCCACCAAGGCGACGAUCCGUAGCUGGUCUGAGAGGAUGAUCCAGCCACACUGGAACUGAGACACGGUCCAGGACUCCUACGGGAGGCAGUCAGUGGGGAAUAUUGGA
rnacentral:rRNA from 1 species